AUGGCAAUUGUCCAUACCUACGGGAAGCCUGACAUCUUCUUGACCAUGACCUGCAACCCUAACUGGGAAGAGAUAACGAAUGAGUUGUUUCCUGGUCAGACAGCGCAAGACCGACCUGAUCUUGUGGCUCGUAACGAGUGCAAGUGCAGAUACCCGCGGUCGUUCAAUGAAAACACGGCACAGGGCAAGGACUCAUACCCUGUUUAUCGUCGUCGAGAUAAUGGUCGGCAGGCUAAGGUCCGGGGUAAAAUGUUGGACAACAGAUGGGUUGUGCCGUAUAACCCUUACCUUCUGUGGAUGUUCAAUUGCCACAUCAACGUUGAGGUUUGCUCUAGCAUA
rnacentral:rRNA from 1 species